rnacentral:sRNA from 2 species
GCCCGCGUCAUCUGGGGAGUAGCCAGCCGUCCAAUUGGACGGGCCACCGUGUCAACAUACUCGGCCGAGAGGUCGUGGUGCGGUGGAAGCGGGAGACCGCUUGGGCGAGACCAAUGGCAUCGCAUCCUUCGUCCGGGCCGGGCGGCGGGUGUCGAUGUCCGUUGGAAUCGCAGCGCC